AUCAUGCCAUUCGGAGCCUUCUGCUACCUGACUAUGACAUUCGGCUUGAGAAAUGCCGGUGCCACUUUUCAGCGUUGCAUGCAGAAGUGCCUCCUCAAGCAACUCGGCAGAAAUGCCCACGUCUACGUAGACGACAUUGUGGUGAAGACAGAGAAGCGCGGCACCUUGCUGGAAGACCUCAAGGAAACAUUUGAGAACCUACGCCGGUUCCAAAUCAAGCUUAACCCCGAGAAAUGCGUGUUCGGAGUGCUAGCCGCCCAGCUCCUAGGCUUCCUGGUCUCCGAACGCGGCAUCGAAUGCAACCCAGUAAAGAUUAAGGCCAUUGAGAGAAUGGCGAUUCCCACCAAACUUCGAGACGUCCAGAAGUUU
rnacentral:rRNA from 1 species